UACGUAGGCAGCGAGCGUUUGUUCGGAAUUACUGGGCGUAAAGAGUGUGUAGGCGGUGCUCUAAGUUCGGUGUGAAAUCUCCCGCUUAACUGGGAGGGUGCGCCGGAAACUGGAGUGCUCGAGCGUGGGAGAGGAAAGCGGAAUUCCUGGUGUAGCGGUGAAAUGCGUAGAUAUCAGGAGGAACACCUGCGGUGUAGACGGCUUUCUGGACCAUUGCUGACGCUGAGACACGAAAGCGUGGGUAGCAAACAGG
rnacentral:rRNA from 1 species